rnacentral:rRNA from 1 species
UGGCGACCGGCGCACGGGUGAGUAACACGUAUCCAAACCUGCCGAUAACUCGGGGAUAGCCUUUCGAAAGAAAGAUUAAUAUCCGAUAGGAUAUCAAGAUCGCAUGAUCUUGAUAUUAAAGAAUUUCGGUUAUCGAUGGGGAUGCGUUCCAUUAGUUAGUUGGCGGGGUAACGGCCCACCAAGACGACGAUGGAUAGGGGUUCUGAGAGGAAGGUCCCCCACAUUGGAACUGAGACACGGUCCAAACUCCUACGGGAGGCAGCAG